GAGCUCAAAUUUAUAAUCUGGCACCUUCGGUGUCCGAGUUGUAAUCUCUAGAAGUGUUUUCCGCGUUGGACCGCACACAAGUCUGUUGGAAUACAGCGGCACAGUGGUGAUACCCCCGUACACGGUGCGGACGCCCAGCGCUUUGUGAUACACUUUCAAUGAGUCGAGUUGUUUGGGAAUGCAGCUCAAAUUGGGUGGUAAAUUCCAUCUAAAGCUAAAUAUUGGCGAGAGACCGAUAGCGAACAAGUACCGUGAGGGAAAGAUGAAAAGCACUUUGGAAAGAGAGUUAACAGUACGUGAAAUUGUUGGAAGGGAAACGCUUGAAGUCAGACUUGCUUGCCGGAGCUUGCUUCGGUUUGCAGGCCAGCAUCAGUUUUCCGGGGUGGAUAAUGGUGGUUUGAAGGUAGCAGCCUCGGCUGUGUUAUAGCUUUCCACUGGAUACAUCCUGGGGGACUGAGGAACGCAGCGUGCUUUUUGCGAAGGUUUCGACCUUUUCACGCUUAGGAUGCUGGUGUAAUGACUUUAAACGACCCGUCUU
rnacentral:rRNA from 1 species